rnacentral:rRNA from 1 species
GCCGAGUGUGGGCGAGCGGCGGCGGUAAGGAGGUGGGCGGGAGGGUUGUCCGGGUUUUGUGGGGUUAAAGAGCUGGUAGGGGGCGUGUCGCGGCGACUGUGAAAACCCACAGCUCAACGGUGGGCUUGCAGUCGAUACGGGCAGGCUAGAGUUCGGUAGGGGAGACUGGAAUUCCUGGUGUAGCGGUGAAAUGCGCAGAUAUCAGGAGGAACACCGGUGGCGAAGGCGGGUCUCUGGGCCGAUACUGACGCUGAGGAGCGAAAGCGUGGGGAGCGAACAGGAUUAGAUACCCUGGUAGUC